UGGGGAAUAUUGCACAAUGGAGGGAACCCUGAUGCAGCGACGCCGCGUGAGUGAUGAAGGACUUCGUUUCGUAAAACUCUGUUCUAUGGGAAGAAAAGGACUGUACCAUAGGAGAAAGCUCCGGCUAAAUACGUGCCAGCAGCCGCGGUAAUACGUAUGGAGCGAGCGUUGUCCGGAAUUAUUGGGCGUAAAGGGUGCGCAGGCGGCUUUACAAGUUGGAUGUGAAAUAUUGUGGCUCAACCACAAACGUGCAUCCAAAACUGCAAAGCUUGAGUUAAGGAGAGGUAAGUGGAAUUCCUGGUGUAGCGGUGGAAUGCGUAGAUAUCAGGAGGAAUACCGGUGGCGAAGGCGACUUACUGGACUUAAACUGACGCUCAGGCACGAAAGCGUGGGGAGCAAACAGG
rnacentral:rRNA from 1 species